UACGGAGGGUGCGAGCGUUGUCCGGAAUCAUUGGGCGUAAAGCGUGCGUAGGUGGUGAGUUAAGUCUGUCGUGAAAGCCCCGGGCUCAACCUGGGAAUGGCGAUGGAUACUGGCGUGCUUGAGGACUGGAGAGGAGACUGGAAUUCAUGGUGUAGCAGUGAAAUGCGUAGAGAUCAUGAGGAAGACCAGUGGCGAAGGCGGGUCUCUGGACAGUUCCUGACACUGAGACACGAAGGCCAGGGGAGCAAACGGG
rnacentral:rRNA from 1 species